rnacentral:lncRNA from 1 species
AAAUGGCGGUUUUUACUGAGUGUUAUUUAUCUGCAAAAAAGAAAAGAAAUGAGUCAACAAUAUUUUGCUGAAUCAUUAAAUCCAAAAAAAAAAAACUGUGUAAUAGAAGGACAAAACGAUGUCCUGAAAUAAAACUAAACUAAUACCACCUAUUUUUCUCAAUAUAGCUCCAAAUACCGAUCAGUACCACCACCACCAAUAGCACUAUCAGCACCAAACAUAAUAUCAAAAUUGAAAAACAAAAAUCAAACUUUAUAAAUCUUAGUUCUUCUAGCUAGAGACAGUUCACUAGCUCCAAACUAACCCAACACAACCAAAAUCCCCUUACUUUACUCUUGCAUCUUGUCACCAACCAAACAAAACCUCAAGUCCAAAGUAAACUCAAAAAAAAAAAGAAAACAAUGAGCACACUUAAAAUCCCCUAGAGUAGUAAUUGACUGGAACACAGUUGGUUAGUGACGACCUUGUAGAAACUGAAUCGAAUAAUAUUUACAGUUCUAGACACUUCGAUUCAUAGUUAAGAAAGAGAAAGAGUACUGGGUGUCUGCAAUUCGCGAUUGAGAUAGAACUAUAGAGAAGAAGAAGAAGACGACCAAUUUUUUCUUCAUAAUUUUCAAUUAGCUUUUCUUGUUUUGGUUGCAUCGAAAGUUUCAAGCACUUCUUUGCUUUGCUUUGUUUCUGGGUUCCUUUUAUUUAUUUAUUCUUUGUUGUGUUUUAGUGUGACUGUGUUGUGUGUGUUUUUGGGUCUCUCCCUUAAUUAGUUGAACUUGAAAGCGCAUCUCUCUCUCUUUCUUUUUUUAUUUAUUUUUUCAUAGUUUGGUGCGACUGUGUUGUGUGUAUUUUUAGGUCUCUCCCUUAAUUAGUUGAACUUGAAAGCGCGUCUCUCUCUCUCUCUCUCUCCUCUUUCCUUGUGCCAUCAAAUAACUGAAACGAAGUUUAAUUUUUCACUUGAAGGAAGACCUAUCAAAGAUUUGAGCCCCACUUCUAGCAGUCGUUGCCACCGACACUGAUUUGGUGUUGUCUAAGCUUGUAUGCCAAGAUUACAGACUAAUCACGAUUAAAGAUACUAACUUUAUUACUGCNNN